GCCUGUUGGACAACAGCCUCUGCUUUCACUUACCCCCACUGGUGAACUCCCUCCUGAUUUCACCUGAGGCCAGAAUGUUGCUUUUACUCCAGCUGUUUCACCUUCUCUUAUAUGACCAUCCGAUGUUCCCCUGCUGUUGGCCGACCUGCCGUGUAAGGGACCAUCUCCGUGGAGAGAUGGACCCCGCAGGGACUUGCAAAGAGCUUAUCCAAGCCACGCAGGAGCAGCAAGAGUCAGAUGUCAUCCACAAUUGGGAGUGUAUCUCUUACAAAUAAAUGACUUAAAGCCUG